GCGGCAGCAGGGUUGGGCUCUCGCCGUGAGUCGACGAAGGGAGCGCGGGCGCGCGCCCGCGUCCGCGCACUGAGAGUCGCCUCGGCCGCUCGCUUUCUCGACUCCCGCCUCGCGCCUCGAUCCUGUUCCGCCUCCCUCGGCCCUCCUGCCCGCCCCCACUCGUCGGCCCUCAGCUCAGAGACCUAAUAGGAUGGGGUCUUAGAGAAACAUCUUUUGAGCCACAGACUUCUUUGUUACCAGAAGGAAAAUGAAAGAAGAAAUUUAAAUACCACUUGAAGAGAGGUGCUGCCCAGUUCAUGAGUGCUGCUGCUGUCCUGCCCAAGUACCCAGCUUGCAGAGUGCCAGAGUUAGAGUCCCAGGGGUGUUCUCCACAGCUGCAUGCUUGAUCCAGGCCUAUCAGUGAACCAGCAUCUUGCCCUUCAGACCCUACAGCACACUCUUGGGCUCAUGAAGUGUAUGACACAUCCUCCUUGGGGGAUCGGCCAUGUCCUCGCUCUCAUGACCACAUGAAUUCUUCUGUAUGUCUUUUCUCACAGCUGAGUACUCUCUUCCUGACCCCCUUGUGGAAUGGGGAAAGGAGGCUGUGACAUUGUGCUUGUGCAAACAAUAAUUGAGAGCUUUCCGAGUCUCCUGCAUCUUCAUAAAUGAUUUUUUGUUUUAUGCUGGGACAGUAGUUCUUUAAAUAGAAUAUUCUCCCAUGGAAAUCGCCCACAAUGCUGAGAGUACACCUUGCAAAAGCCCUGCUUCUUUAGAAUUGACAGUCUGGCUUCGUGGUUAAUUCACAGCAUCUGAGGAAUACAUCCAAAGAGGGUGAUACUGUGGCAUGAUGGUACCAGGAUUCCAAGUUCAUUCCAGAGAAGAUGGCAAGAUGCAGAGAGGAGGAGUCACGCCUGAAGCCACACAGCUGACAUCAGAGCCAAAGCAUGAGCCUCAGUCUCUCUGACCCAGAGCUACCACCCUUGCUGCCUUGGGAAGAAGGAAGCCCCCUCCUAUUCUAUCCUUGAGCUGCCUUGGCAAGGAGGGGCCCCUUGCUGCCGCCAUCCUCACAGGACACCAUCCACAUGAGGGGAUGAAUCUCAGUUGCACUCAGUUGUUGCCCCCCUCGAACCUCCCUUGAGCCUCAGGAGAAACCACCCUGAUUCAGAGGUCCAGAGAAGACCUGACUAGCCCAAGGUAAUUCCGUCCCCUUGCCAGAGUGGCUUGGGCAGGGACACGGGACCUAUUUCAAUGAGGCCAAUGAGACAAAGGUAUUUCUGCUGGGGAGGCAGGGGCUUCAAGCAAAGGGUCUUGCUUGAAAGAGCCACCGGAAGAGGGCUCUCUCCUUCCUUAGGGUGUCACCGUGUCUGGAUGCGAUGCCUGGAAGUGCUACAGCCACUCGCGCCCAGCCUGAAGAUGAAACCAACCCCAAACACAGCCAAGCAGAGAGAUGGAAAGAACUAGGACCCUAAUUACACCACUGAGCAGCUAUAGCAACCAGUUCCAGAGCCCUCUGACUUCCCGCCAAAGUGAGAUGAUAAGAUACUGUUUAAUUUCUCUCUUUUAUAGCCAAACACACCAAAAUUGACACAGAGAUGUGAGCCAUACCUACUACUGUUACUGCUCCAUCCCUAGCUCCAACCACAGUGCAUGGUACAUGGUAGAGAGCCAACAAACACUUGAAGAAUGAAUGGUGCAUAUUGAGUGGGAUUUUCCAGAGGCAGACCUGGAGACAAGGCUUCAAGUGCGUGUGUUGUAUUAAGGAAAUGCUCCCAGGGGACAAUAGCAGAGUGGCAGAAAUGGGACAAGGGGGCCAGGGAGCCAAGAACAGAGAAUCAAUCGUCUAAACAGAGCCCCCUGUUUUUUGUUUCACCUGGGAGUAGCUUCUACCUGAUCCCCAGGGGAACUCUGGGAUGUCAGUGACGGCUCAGCAUUGCCCCUGAGGCAAGGGAGCUGGGCUUUCCUAAUCCCCCACUCCUCAGUCUCUGGCUAAGCGCUGUCCCCAGGGGACUUAAUCACCCAAACACUUCCCCAAGAGUGGCAUCUGCUGACCACUGGAGGCACUGGUACAGUGAAGCGACAGAAGGGAUCAGAGAGGGUCCAGGUGGAGCACAGCAAUGUGGCUGAAUAAUAACUAUAUUAAUUCAUAUAGUUAAUUCUCAAGCAAUGGCAAAGUGUAGGCAGCUUCUUGUCUGCAAACGUUUCCAUGAUAUCUCUCCUGCAGCCAGACGGGUCUUUUCCUGCCGCCUACACAGAAUGGCCAUGGAGCAUCCCCAACUCUUAUUAAAAUGGAAAAAAAAAAAGCCUUUGCAUUUCAAUCUAUUAUUGCACUUUAUGACUCAUCUUCAGGUUCUCUCUGCAAAACAUUGAAAGCCAGAUCAUAAUUUGAUGAUGAAAUAUUGAUUAUGCAUUUGUAUGCAGAGGUCUAUACUAUAUAGAUAGAAUUCCCACCCUGUAGUAUCUUCUAUUUUAAGUCAGUAUGAAGAUGGAUGUUCCCCCCAGGCAAAUUUUGAUAAGAUACUUGUGUCAAUACAAAAAGAGAUUAAUGCCAAUGUGAAUCAAUACCCGCUUAUUGGUUUGGGUUGCUUCUUCUCCACGCAGCAGCUGGCACCAAGAGGGGUUUCCAAACACCAGCGGCUCCCAGCCAAUCUGCAUAUUUCUUUAUUUAAAUCAUGAGAGUGGGAAGUGGCAAGGGAAUGGUGGGUUGGCAGGGGGCUGCCCACGCCCACUCCCAAAUUGA
ensembl:lncRNA novel transcript, antisense to CBLN1